rnacentral:rRNA from 1 species
GGUCAACCGGGGAGGGUCAUUGGAAACUGGGGAACUUGAGUGCAGAAGAGGAGAGUGGAAUUCCACGUGUAGCGGUGAAAUGCGUAGAGAUGUGGAGGAACACCAGUGGCGAAGGCGACUCUCUGGUCUGUAACUGACGCUGAGGCGCGAAAGCGUGGGGAGCGAACAGGAUUAGAUACCCUGGUAGUCCACGCCGUAAACGAUGAGUGCUAAGUGUUAGAGGGUUUCCGCCCUUUAGUGCUGCAGCAAACGCAUUAAGCACUCCGCCUGGGGAGUACGGUCGCAAGACUGAAACUCAAAGGAAUUGACGGGGGCCCGCACAAGCGGUGGAGCAUGUGGUUUAAUUCGAAGCAACGCGAAGAACCUUACCAGGUCUUGACAUCCUCUGACAACCCUAGAGAUAGGGCUUCCCCUUCGGGGGCAGAGUGACAGGUGGUGCAUGGUUGUCGUCAGCUCGUGUCGUGAGAUGUUGGGUUAAGUCCCGCAACGAGCGCAACCCUUGAUCUUAGUUGCCAGCAUUCAGUUGGGCACUCUAAGGUGACUGCCGGAGACAAACCGGAGGAAGGUGGGGGUGACGUCAAAUCAUCAUGCCCCUUAUGACCUGGGCUACACACGUGCUACAAUGGGGCAGAACAAAG